CACAGGUGCCUGCCCGCGCGGCGCAGGCUCACAGGUAGCGCUCCAGCCCCGACGCGAAGCCCGGCUGCCUCAGGCAAAAGGCCUGCUGGCACCUCUGGCCUGACCGUACCCAGAGACUGGAUCACAUGCUCCUGCUCCAUGCCUGCCUCCCCAGCGGAAUGGAAGCAAUUCCUCCUUGGACCCUAUGAUAGGCUGCAGAGGGGCACGGCUCAGUGAGCAUUUGUUGAGUGCCUGACUGACUACCCUGCUGAAUGAAUAAGUGAAUGAAUGAAUGACCACACCUGUCUGGAAAGCUCCUGAGGGCAAAGCCUGGGCCUCAUCCUCUUGUGGAUCCAGGAGAGCAGUCGCUGAAGAGAAAGAGGAAGAAAAGGAGUGGCUAGAAAAGAAAGUUUAUUUCCACUGCAGGAAGCACUGCCUCCCAUCUGAGAAAUGUCCCAAGCAGGAAUCAGUGCUGCGAUGAACUUAUGAGUGAAUGCAUCAAAAAGACCAAGUUGAACUUAUGAGCGAAUGCAUCAAAAAGACCAAGACUUGAUCCCUUGCCCACAAAGAUACAAGGCUGAGGACAAAGCCAUGAAGGAAAAGCCUCACUGAAGAAGAGGAACCUAAGAGAAGCAGGUUCUGCUCUGAUGAACUCCCAUAAAGGCAUUCCCAUAAAGGUGUGGGCCUGAGUGAUAAUCUAGAUAUGGUACAGUUGACAUCAGGUAUAUGGCGGCAGCCAGAAAUUCAACUUUGUCCAUCAGCUCUCUGCACAACAGGAAAGAUGGUGACCUUCCAGGCUUAUCUGAGGUCCAAGAGUAACAUCACAAACACAGUAACUACACCCAGCCAAAGAAAAGCAUACCUGAAUCCAAGAGAGUAUUUACACUGGCUUCAGGGAUGAGGAAAUAAAGGAGUAAGUGAUUAGGAUCAUUGUUUUCCUUUCUCUUUGGUACAAAAUAAAUGAGCUUCCUUUCUUUCAUUAAAAAUAAAUGUUUAGGCCGGGCGCGGUGGCUCACGCCUGUAAUCCCAGCACUUUGGGAAGCCGAGGCGGACG
rnacentral:lncRNA from 10 species